rnacentral:lncRNA from 1 species
AUGGAGGCUGCUGGGUGCUCUGUUAGUGCCCAGACCCACAGUGCUGGUGAAACGUGGGCCUUCGAAGUGCUGGAGGACCCCUUCCUCCUGGACACAGCAAAAUUCUCUGUGUUUGCAGCUGCGUGGUUUAUCUUGCUGCAAAGAUUUCAUCAAAAACUGAAGCAAGGCGUGUUGUGUGGACAGCAGGCAACUCCAAGACUCCGGAAGGGUCUGUGCGAAUGCGCGCCGGAGCCCAUCUCCGCAGCGAUGAGCAGGAGGCACAGUGCCCCAUUGCUCCCAGCGCUGGUAUUUGCCGGGGACAGGAUGCAAACCGCAGCACUCGGCCCCACCAGGAAUAUUGUUGAUGGUGAGCAAAAACUGCCCAGAUGUCCGAAGCCUGUUUGGCCAUUUGGAAGCUCUCCGCGUUCAUCCCCCAGACCUGCCCGCCGCUACCGGGAGCAUGCCUGGCAGUGUGACGGAGAGGAGGGAAAGCCCAUGUGUGGUCCUCGGGCUCUGGCAAGAAACAGCAGAGCAGAACACCAGGCUAUUGAUUGUGUGUUUGCUUUAAAAACAACCUAA